rnacentral:rRNA from 1 species
AUUGAACGCUGGCGGCAUGCUUUACACAUGCAAGUCGAACGGUAACAGGCCGCAAGGUGCUGACGAGUGGCGAACGGGUGAGUAAUGCAUCGGAACGUGCCCAGUCGUGGGGGAUAACGCAGCGAAAGCUGUGCUAAUACCGCAUAAGAUCUCUGGAUGAAAGCGGGGGACCGUAAGGCCUCGCGCGAUUGGAGCGGCCGAUGUCAGAUUAGGUAGUUGGUGGGGUAAAGGCCCACCAAGCCAACGAUCUGUAGCUGGUCUGAGAGGACGACCAGCCACACUGGGACUGAGACACGGCCCAGACUCCUACGGGAGGCAGCAGUGGGGAAUUUUGGGCAAUGGGCGCAAGCCUGAUCCAGCAAUGCCGCGUGCAGGAAGAAGGCCUUCGGGUUGUAAACUGCUUUUGUACGGAACGAAACGGUCCGGGCUAAUACCCUGGGCUAAUGACGGUACCGUAAGAAUAAGCACCGGCUAACUACGUGCCAGCAGCCGCAGUAACAC